UACGUAGGGCGCAAGCGUUAUCCGGAAUUAUUGGGCGUAAAGAGCUCGUAGGCGGUUUGUCGCGUCUGCCGUGAAAGUCCGGGGCUCAACUCCGGAUCUGCGGUGGGGUACGGGCAGACUAGAGUGAUGUAGGGGAGACUGGAAUUCCUGGUGUAGCGGUGAAAUGCGCAGAUAUCAGGAGGAGCACCGAUGGCGAAGGCAGGUCUCUGGGCAUUAACUGACGCUGAGGAGCGAAAGCAUGGGGAGCGAACAGG
rnacentral:rRNA from 1 species